GUCCUCAUCAACGCUGCGUUUCUAUGCUACAAACAGAUGAACUUGUUCAUUCAAGAUUAUCAGAUCGCUUGCGAUCAAUUAUUUGCAUAUGAGAAAUUCGGAGUACUCUUCAAUUUACCUCGUUCCUUUACCUUCGGGCAAAGAUGAACAGGUCUGCCCGUGAGGGUUCGGCGUGAUUUCACGUCUGCAAUUGGCAUCAGAAAAGCAGGGCAUGGUCACUCUAUAUAUAUCACUUCCGAAAGGGGGAGAGAAAAUGGUUGUGUACUAUUGUUCCUAUGGGAGAGCCGUUGCGAAGAUUGUGUGUGCUGAGGCAUGACACUUAAGUGCAAUACGUGGCGUGCUGGACUUGACAUACUUCAGUAUGACAAGUUGAGUACAAUUCGAUUCCGAUUACUCUGUUGAGGAC
rfam:Botryotinia fuckeliana BcDW1 unplaced genomic scaffold Scaffold_452, whole genome shotgun sequence.